CCUACGGGGGGCAGCAGUGAGGAAUAUUGGUCAAUGGUCGGGAGACUGAACCAGCCAAGCCGCGUGAGGGAUGAAGGUACAGAGUAUCGUAAACCUCUUUUGUCAGGGAGCAAUUGGGUCCACGCGUGGGCUUAGCGAGAGUACCUGAAGAAAAAGCAUCGGCUAACUCCGUGCCAGCAGCCGCGGUAAUACGGAGGAUGCGAGCGUUAUCCGGAUUUAUUGGGUUUAAAGGGUGCGUAGGCGGAAUAUCAAGUCAGCGGUAAAAAUUCGGGGCUCAACCCCGUCGUGCCGUUGAAACUGAUGUU
rnacentral:rRNA from 1 species